GGCGUAUCAAACAAGCUUGUGCGUGCCUGCUAAGUCACUUCAGUCGUGGCCCGCCAGGUUCCUCUGUGCAUGGGAUUUCCCAGGCAAGAAUACUGGAGUGGUUGCCAUUUCCUUCUCCAGGGGAUCUUCCCAACCCAGGGAUUGAACCCACAUCUCUUAUGUCUCCUGCAUUGGCAAGGAGGUUCUUUAUGCCACUAGGUCCACCUGGGAAGCCCACUAAAUGAGCUAAGACUGCGGCAAAUUAACCCAGGAAAGCACACGCAUUCCCUAAUUGGAGAGGCCUUCCGCAAACACCCUCAGAGGCCCAGGCGCAAGCUUCCGCCGCCAGUCUGUCCGCUCUCAGGCCGGGGUAGGGGGACACGCGCGAGGUUCGGCUGUGCCCACGGUCCAGCCACUGCACAAGCCGGCCGUCUCCCAGAGUUCUGAGUAAUCGCCGGAAGCCCGGCCAGAAUCAAAGCGGACGCGAAGCAUCCACCCAGCUGGAAGAGCCGCCGCCGCCGGGGAAGCAGGAAUCUCCCAGAUACCCAGUGUGGGGGCGCUCCCGAGCCCUCGGGGUCCCCCGGCGGCCUCCUGGAGUCUGGAGCUCAGGCGGAGAGAUGCAGGGACGGCGGGAGGCCGGAGGCAGCCGUGGUCAGGGAAGCGAGGGGACCAGAAGGACCACCGGAGGUGUCCGGGCGGAAGGGCCGCGGGGCUGGGGUCGCCCCGGUCCCCGCCGCACCCUGGGGACCCCGGCCCGCUUGGUUUGGGCCUCAAAGACCUCCACUGAUGAAUGCUCUCUGUGAAGCAAACUGCACUUUUGCCUUCAACUUAUUAAAAAUGUUGGCUGAAGAGGACCACUCGUGACACGUGUUCUUCUCUCCGCUGAGCCUCUCCUUUGUCCUGACCAUGGUCUUAAUGGGGGCUGAGGGGAACACGGUGGCCCAGAUGUCCCAGUGGGACCCCCCCGGUUCUGGAUGCUCAUCUCUGAGGGACGGCGCUCACCUGGUGGUCAAGAUGCAGGUGCAAGGCCCAGGAGCCCCUUGUGAAUCACCCUCUCUCAGCUCAGCUGUCUCCAGAGCAUCUCCAGAUCUAAGGUUCACAAACUGGAGAGCUCAUCGCAGUGUGCUUAAAGACUUGAGGGGUCCUGGGUGAGGCAGAAAAUGGUGUGGGCAGAGCAUGGGAUCAAGAAAGGCGUCCUGGACCCGGUGAGGUCUGAGCUGGGUCUCCAAAGGUGAGUUUGGCAGGGCCUGGCUCUGAGCAGGACUCAAAUACAUGAUGAAUGACGAAAUGAAUGAAAAUGGAAAUCUUCCCCCCAAAAACCAAGACUGUCAGCUCUUCUGUAACUGAGUCCAAGCUUGUCCUGCUCACCUCACGACAGGCCAAUAAACUGAGAGAUGAGUUCUUGGGGCA
rnacentral:lncRNA from 1 species